rnacentral:rRNA from 1 species
CCUACGGGGGGCAGCAGUGAGGAAUAUUGGUCAAUGGGCGGAAGCCUGAACCAGCCAAGUAGCGUGCGGGAUGAAGGCCCUACGGGUUGUAAACUGCUUUUGCACGGGGAUAACACCCGCCACUUGUGGAUGUCUGCAGGUACCGUGCGAAUAAGGGCCGGCUAAUUCCGUGCCAGCAGCCGCGGUAAUACGGAAGGCCCGAGCGUUAUCCGGAUUUAUUGGGCUUAACGGGAGGGUAGGCGGCCGUUUAAGUCAGCGGUAAAAUCGCGCGGCUCAACCGCGCCCCGCAGUUGAAACUGGGCGGCUUGAGUUCACAACAGGCAGGCGGAAUUCGUGGUGUAGCGGUGAAAUGCAUAGAUAUCACGAGGAACCCCGAUGGCGAAGGCAGCCUGCCGGGGUGCGACUGACGCUGAGGCUCGAAGGUGCGGGUAUCAAACAGGAUUAGAUACCCGUGUAGUC